UUAUAGAUAAUGAUACAAGAAUAAGAUCUAUCGAUGAAAAUAUUUACAACAAUGUGACUGCCUCGCAAGAAAAAGGCUGUGAAUCUUUUGUAAAUGAUGCUGAAAUGCUAGAUAUUAAUACAAAGAAAGGCUCUGUCGAUAAAAAUACAUGCUUU